GACAGAGGGUGCAAACGUUGUUCGGAAUUACUGGGCGUAAAGCGAGUGUAGGCGGUCUACUAAGUCGGGUGUGAAAGCCCUGGGCUCAACCCAGGAAGUGCACUCGAAACUGGUGGGCUAGAGUAUCGGAGAGGUUGGUGGAAUUCUCGGUGUAGAGAUGAAAUUCGUAGAUAUCGAGAGGAACACCGGUGGCGAAGGCGGCCAACUGGACGAAUACUGACGCUGAGACUCGAAAGCGUGGGGAGCAAACAGG
rnacentral:rRNA from 1 species